AGAGUUUGAUCMUGGCUCAGGAUGAACGCUGGCGGCGUGCUUAACACAUGCAAGUCGAACGAUUAAAAGCCCCUUCGGGGGGUGUAUAGAGUGGCGAACGGGUGAGUAACACGUGGGCAAUCUGCCCCUCACYUCGGGAUAACUCAAGGAAACUUGAGCUAAUACCGAAUACUCCGAACUGAUCGCAUGGUCGGUUCGGGAAAGCUCCGACGGUGAGGGAUGAGCCCGCGGCCCAUUAGCUUGUUGGUGAGGUAACGGCCACCAAGGCAACGAUGGGUAGCCGCGCUGAGAGGCGGAUCGGCCACACUGGGACUGAGACACGGCCCAGACUCCUACGGGAGGCAGCAGUGGGGAAUUUUGCGCAAUGGGGGAAACCCUGACGCAGCAACGCCGCGUGAGUGAUGAAGGCUUUCGGGUCGUAAAGCUCUGUCAGAGGGGAAGAAAUGUAUGGAUGCUAAUACCAUCUUUACUUGACGGUACCCUCAAAGGAAGCACCGGCUAACUCCGUGUCAGCAGCCGCGGUAAUA
rnacentral:rRNA from 1 species